GACGAACCGUGCGAACGUUAUUCGGAUUCACUGGGCUUAAAGCGCGUGUAGGCGGGCCGGCACGUCGGAUGCUGAAAGCCCCCGGCUCAACCGGGGAACGGGCACCGAUACGACCGGCCUGGAGGGGGGUAGGGGGAGCCGGAACUUCCGGUGGAGCGGUGAAAUGCGUUGAGAUCGGAAGGAACGCCCGUGGCGAAAGCGGGCUCCUGGACCACACCUGACGCUGAGACGCGAAAGCCAGGGGAGCAAACGGG
rnacentral:rRNA from 1 species